GAUACCAGAGUCAAAAGGCCAAAAAUCCGAUGCAAGCUUGCUUGCAAGAGGAUUUUUUACCUUGGGCCCCGCCAAAAACAUAAAUAAGCAGCCAUUUUUCGUAGAAAAAUGAGCGGAUUAUUUAUGUUUCCCAGGAUUGCGGGAGCACGUAGUGGGAAGCAAUCCGGU
rnacentral:sRNA from 1 species